rnacentral:sRNA from 1 species
GAGAAAGAGGGAGAAAGUGCUUGCCAGAUAGAAGGACACAGAAGGGAGAGAGAGAGAGAGCACGCGCAGAGACAGGAAGGCCGAAAAUUGAAGACGAAGGCCAUGCUUGUAAAGAGUGACUGAGAUUUGAAGCCCAUGCCUGCCUCUACUGAUUGAAAAGAGCAAUCGAACAUGCAAAGGUCGUGAUUGAAGCUUUAAGAAGUAAAGGUGUUUCAGGAUUAGUGUUAUAGACUUAUGUUGGCUGGUUUCCAUCAUGUUGUCGAUAUUGUGCAGCUCCUCUUCUGUCAAAUUGUUCCAGUACUGUUCAUCUCUUCCUACUAGCCCUGCUUCUCUUUGUCUAUCUUCUUUUACCUUGUAACACAUAUUUGCUGUUUCUCCUUUGAAAUUUUGAGGCUUCCAGUAUGGCUGAUGAUUGAUUUUUGUCUUACUAUAAAUAUACAUUUCUUCUUCUU